rnacentral:rRNA from 1 species
GAUGAACGCUGGCGGCGUGCCUAAUACAUGCAAGUCGAGCGAACGGACGAGAAGCUUGCUUCUCUGAUGUUAGCGGCGGACGGGUGAGUAACACGUGGAUAACCUACCUAUAAGACUGGGAUAACUUCGGGAAACCGGAGCUAAUACCGGAUAAUAUUUUGAACCGCAUGGUUCAAAAGUGAAAGACGGUCUUGCUGUCACUUAUAGAUGGAUCUGCGCUGCAUUAGCUAGUUGGUAAGGUAACGGCUUACCAAGGCAACGAUGCAUAGCCGACCUGAGAGGGUGAUCGGCCACACUGGAACUGAGACACGGUCCAGACUCCUACGGGAGGCAGCAGUAGGGAAUCUUCCGCAAUGGGCGAAAGCCUGACGGAGCAACGCCGCGUGAGUGAUGAAGGUCUUCGGAUCGUAAAACUCCGUUAUUAGGGAAGAACAUAUGUGUAAGUAACUGUGCACAUCUUGACGGUACCUAAUCAGAAAGCCACGGCUAACUACGUG